GACGUAGGGGGCGAGCGUUGUCCGGAAUUACUGGGCGUAAAGAGCACGUAGGCGGGGACUUAAGUCAGAUGUGAAAGACCGGAGCUCAACUCCGGGGUUGCAUCUGAAACUGGGUUUCUUGAGGGCAGGAGAGGACAGUAGAAUUCCUGGUGUAGCGGUGAAAUGCGUAGAAAUCAGGAGGAAUACCGGUGGCGAAGGCGGCUGUCUGGACUGACCCUGACGCUGAGGUGCGAAAGCGUGGGUAG
rnacentral:rRNA from 1 species